rnacentral:rRNA from 1 species
UACGGGGGGUGCGAGCGUUGUCCGGAAUCACUGGGCGUAAAGGGCGCGUAGGCGGCCACCGCAAGUCGACUGUGAAAUCUCCGGGCUUAACCCGGAAAGGUCAGCCGAUACUGCGGGGCUAGAGUGCAGAAGGGGCAACUGGAAUUCUCGGUGUAGCGGUGAAAUGCGUAGAUAUCGAGAGGAACACCUGCGGCGAAGGCGGGUUGCUGGGCUGACACUGACGCUGAUGCGCGAAAGCUAGGGGAGCGAACGGG